rnacentral:misc_RNA from 1 species
AAACCCACAAAUGUUUGACCAAAACCCAGGGGAUCGUCCCCAUCUAAACCAAAGGCCACAAAAAUUACAACAGCCUUGGAUCAGAUUGAGGAUACGACACGACACCGUAGCUGCAAACUACAAUAUCUAGCAUCUUAAACAAGCAGUAGCGCCACUAGAAGUUUAGGAAAACAGCAGGAGAUGGUGGAAUGUAUUCAAAGUGCUGCCAGUCAACCAUAUCCAUGUGUACUCGCGUCAAUGACCAUAGAAUUACAACAAUAUCGAUAAAUCUCCCCCUCGUUUCUAACUCCUUUGGGGUAGGAAUCACUCGACGAAAAGCUAUUUGAUG